AAGUCGUAACAAGGUUUCCGUAGGUGAACCUGCGGAAGGAUCAUUACAGAGAACUUGCCCUUCGGGGUAGAUCUCCCACCCUUUGUUUACAAUACCAUUGUUGCUUUGGCAGGCCCGUCUUCGGACCACCGGCUCCGGCUGGUCAGUGUCUGCCAGAGGACCCAAAACUCUUUAUAAUUUAUUGUCUGAGUACUAUAUAAUAGUUAAAACUUUCAACAACGGAUCUCUUGGUUCUG
rnacentral:misc_RNA from 1 species